rnacentral:RNase_P_RNA from 5 species
UUGGUGUCGGGUAGUUGCCCUAGGUAAAACUGGGGAGGAAAGUCCGAACAUUCAGACCCCUCUGCCGCAUAUGCACAGAGAGGUCAAGGGUAGCAGGUAACGCCUGCCGGGAGCAAUUCUAGAGAUGCGAACAGAGACGAGUUCCGGCGCAAGCCGGAAGUGAAACGGCAAAAUUCUUACCCGAAUGCAAGGCCGUGCUCCGCGUAGCUUUAUGCGAAGUGGAGAGUGCCGCUAGAGGCCAAUAGCGAUAUUGGUCCCAGAUAAAUAACUAUCCAGUGCGUAGCACAAACUACAAACUGACAGAAUUCGGCUUAUAGACACCCGAAACCG